AACCAACAAGUUAUUCGGGGUCAGAGAGGGAACAGCGCUGGGGGUCGGAAGAGGCAGCAGAGAGAAGGAAGGGACAAAGACCCGCUCCCGCCGCGCCUCCGAGGGCCCGAAAGCCCAAGAGCACCCAGGCCAGGCCCGCGGGGCUUCCCUGCGCCGCCGCCGCUGGGCUGGCGACAGCUGUCCAGGGCCUCCUCGGACAGCUCCCUCCGGACAACGCGGUCUCCGCCAGAGUGACACCCCACCCCCAGGACCUCCCCCAGCACACGCCCUGCCCUCUGCCCAAACCCCUGCAUGUCUUUAUCGGGGUUAUCCUGCUCCCGAACUGACUGGCUCAUUGUUCUCCAGAAUGUCAUCUCCCCCAACAAGUUGUUCCCAGCUGAACCCUCUGCCUGCCAGCUAACAGGCGGAUGAAAGGUGGAUGACCUUGUGCCAAUUUCUUUUCCCUCGGUGCCCGUUUCCCACCCCCACUGGCAUCCCAUCCACCACAAGGGCCCUGCAUGUCAGGCAAGGUAUCCCCAGUAAGCAGAUGGGAACGCUGAGGCCCAGAGAAAGGAGAGGACUUCUGCAAGUCAUGUGUAGCCAAGACCCAGCUCAGGCCUUCCUGCCCCUCCCCUGGAGAUCCUGCUUCUGCGGGUCUGGAGGUGGCCCGAGGCAAAUUUGGAAAACUGGAUUACUGGAUUAUUAGGACCUUCAGCAGCUCAAGAUUAUUAACCUCAGGAAUAAAACUCCAAAACUCUCAGAGAAAUCAGAGCAAUCAGAGCAAAGCACAAGCGCAUGAAGAACCAAGCUGGCCAUGUAAGGAUUGGACAGACCCAUUGUUUCCCCCAAGCACCAGCGCAUCGCACACGGCAACCUGCGCAUCUUGGCUGGCUGCGAGAUGGAAGGAGACUGAGCAGAUUUGUCACAGAACAGAGCACACUGCCUACCGCUUCACGCAUUCACUCGCUUGACACUGAUUGCGUGCUGCUCCUCUGAGAUUCCAGAAUUCUGCAGUGUCCCGAGGUUCUAUAAUGCUACAACUGUACUUCCACCAGAUGAAAUGCGCCCCGAGACUGCGUGAGGAGAAGGCUUUUUCCCCCACGUCUCUGCUGGAAAGAAAGCCGGAUCCACGCAGAGCCCGGGGGCGGGUUGCGGCAAGGAGUCUCCCCCUAUGGCCCCCACCAUCUGCCCCCACACUGUCCCUCCAGCUCCUGUGCCCUCCCUCCCUCCCUAGGGACCAGGCUGGAAGCGACAACUCCAGCUCUGAGUCCUGCAGGGCGGGAGGGGUGUGGCCCUGCCUCUUUCCCUAGGUCUCGUGCACUUUGGGGAGGAUCUGGGGGUCGCUGGGCAGAUGGAGCUGGGGAGUUCAACCUCCAGAUGGACUCUCCCGAGGGUGGGACUGGUCUCCAUUUGCUCCAGGCUGGAGCCUGAAGCCCCAGGAGGGCAGAGGUCAGGGGCCCACGUGGGGCUUGGAAGGCCAGAGGCCACUAUGAGGGUGCAUGAUCCAGGCCUUUCACAGGGCAGAUGGACACCAAGACCCAAGAGCAGAGGGCGUUUCCCUGGCGAGGCCCAAGGUGAGUGUUGCACUCUGCCCACAGGGACACCUAGGAGCCACGAGUCUCUUCCUACGAGCACACUCCCUGCCCCACCCCACCUGUGGGGAAAGUCAAGGAGCAAAACUGGUACAGCAGGAAGUCAAGGAGGCUCAGAAGCCAGGAGUGGUGGCGCACGCCUGUAGUUCCAGCACUCAGGAGGCUGAGGCAGGAGGAUCGAUGCAAGUUUGA